GAUGAACGCUGGCGGCGUGCCUAAUACAUGCAAGUCGAGCGAACAGACGAGGAGCUUGCUCCUCUGACGUUAGCGGCGGACGGGUGAGUAACACGUGGAUAACCUACCUAUAAGACUGGGAUAACUUCGGGAAACCGGAGCUAAUACCGGAUAACAUGUUGAACCGCAUGGUUCAACAGUGAAAGACGGUUUUGCUGUCACUUAUAGAUGGAUCCGCGUCGCAUUAGCUAGUUGGUAAGGUAACGGCUUACCAAGGCAACGAUGCGUAGCCGACCUGAGAGGAUGAUCAGCCACACUGGAACUGAGACACGGUCCAGACUCCUACGGGAGGCAGCAGUAGGGAAUCUUCCGCAAUGGGCGAAAGCCUGACGGAGCAACGCCGCGUGAGUGAAGAAGGUCUUCGGAUCGUAAAACUCUGUUAUUAGGGAAGAACAAAUGUGUAAGUAACUAUGCACGUCUUGACGGUACCUAAUCAGAAAGCCACGGCUAACUACGUG
rnacentral:rRNA from 1 species